CUCAGCCCCAUCCCUCUCUCCCCAUCUAUCCCAGAUUUCUUCUGCACAUGAGACACACUCACAAACCCACACAGGCAAUUGCAGGGCACCACCCCUGCCUCCUCUUUCCCGUCUCCUGCAGAUUGACAGCUGUGUGGGUCUGAGCAGCCCUUGAUGCUGCCAAGACAGGAAGCAUUUCUGCCAGUGAGGCACAGAGGAGACCUCGGGGAAGGUGGCAGCCCUCCCCACCUUCAGCUCUGUCUUCAUCAUCGUGAAUGUCUGAGCCCCUGUGCUCGAGUAGCCCACUCUGCGACAAACAAGAUUAAAUUGUAUGAGCAGCAGGACUAUCUGGGCAGCCUGGGAAAACCCAUUUGCACUUGGAACUAAGGUGGCAUUUACACCAGUGGCAGCCACCAACCUUGUCAGAGGACAUCCAGAGAUUGCCUCAUUUUAUAACGGAGCACUGAGGCUCAAAAGGCGUAGCAGUCAGGAACAAAUCUGGAAGAGGAUCCCAGGCCUCUGAG
rnacentral:lncRNA from 1 species